rnacentral:rRNA from 1 species
GAAACAGGUGCUAAGACCGUAUAACACUAUUUUCCGCAUGGAAGAAAGUUGAAAGGCGCUUUUGCGUCACUGAUGGAUGGACCCGCGGUGCAUUAGCUAGUUGGUGAGGUAACGGCUCACCAAGGCCACGAUGCAUAGCCGACCUGAGAGGGUGAUCGGCCACACUGGGACUGAGACACGGCCCAGACUCCUACGGGAGGCAGCAGUAGGGAAUCUUCGGCAAUGGACGAAAGUCUGACCGAGCAACGCCGCGUGAGUGAAGAAGGUUUUCGGAUCGUAAAACUCUGUUGUUAGAGAAGAACAAGGAUGAGAGUAGAACGUUCAUCCCUUGACGGUAUCUAACCAGAAAGCCACGGCUAACUACGUGCCAGCAGCCGCGGUAAUACGUAGGUGGCAAGCGUUGUCCGGAUUUAUUGGGCGUAAAGCGAGCGCAGGCGGUUUCUUAAGUCUGAUGUGAAAGCCCCCGGCUCAACCGGGGAGGGUCAUUGGAAACUGGGAGACUUGAGUGCAGAAGAGGAGAGUGGAAUUCCAUGUGUAGCGGUGAAAUGCGUAGAUAUAUGGAGGAACACCAGUGGCGAAGGCGGCUCUCUGGUCUGUAACUGACGCUGAGGCUCGAAAGCGUGGGGAGCGAACAGGAUUAGAUACCCUGGUAGUCC